rnacentral:rRNA from 1 species
GACGGAGGGUGCGAGCGUUGUUCGGAUUGACUGGGCGUAAAGGGCGUGUAGGCGGUUGGUCAAGUCUGAUGUGAAAGCCCGGAGCUCAGCUCCGGAAGUGCAUCGGAAACUAGCUGGCCGGAGCGCGAUAGAGGAGGGUGGAAUUCCUGGUGUAGCGGUGAAAUGCGCAGAUAUCGGGAAGAACACCCGUGGCGAAGGCGGUUCUCUGGGACGGUACUGACGCUGAGACGCGAAAGCGUGGGGAGCGAACAGG